GACGUAGGGGGCAAGCGUUGUCCGGAUUUAUUGGGCGUAAAGAGCUCGUAGGCGGCUUGUCGCGUCGUCCGUGAAAACCCACAGCUCAACUGUGGGCUUGCGGUCGAUACGGGCAGGCUAGAGUUCGGUAGGGGAGACUGGAAUUCCUGGUGUAGCGGUGAAAUGCGCAGAUAUCAGGAGGAACACCGGUGGCGAAGGCGGGUCUCUGGGCCGAUACUGACGCUGAGGAGCGAAAGCGUGGGGAGCGAACAGG
rnacentral:rRNA from 1 species